rnacentral:rRNA from 1 species
GGCUCAUUAUAACAGUUAAAAUCCUCGCGAAGUUAGCAUUUUGGAUACUUCUAGUAAUUCUGGAGCUAAUACACGUGUGCACUUCGGUGUCAUUUAUUAGAUUCACCAACCGCUUCGGCGUCAAGUGAUGAUUCUGAAUAUCUUGCAGACCGCAUGCGUAAGCGGCGGCAAUUCGCGAAAUUAACUGCCCUAUCAACUUUUGAUGGUAGUUUAGUUGACUACCAUGGUCGUAACGGGUAACGGAGGAUCAGGGUUUGACUCCGGAGAGGAUGCCUGAGAAACGGCAACCACAUCUAAGGAAGGCAGCAGGCGCGCAAAUUACCCACUCUCAAUUCGAGGAGGUAGUGACAACAACUAACGAGACUGUUCCCUUAGGGAACAGUCAUCGAAAUGGGUACAAUUUAAACCCUUUAACGAGGAUCAAUGAGAGGGCAAGUCUGGUGCCAGCAGCCGCGGUAAUUCCAGCUCUCAAAGUGUAUGUCAUUAUUGCUGCGGUUAAAAAGCUCGUAGUUGGAUCUGAGCCUUUGGAUACGGUUCACUUUACUGAGAUAGUGGCUCCGGUGUUAUUCUCCUCUGCUCUCCCGAGAGAGAUACUCAGAAUAACUGAGAGUGCUCAACACACGCGUCUCUCGAGAGUGUUUGUGCGUGAAAUAGUGAAAAGAGAUUUGUUCUCCAUAGUGUUGUUCUGAGAUGUGUAAUAGAGAAUGAGAGAGACACAGGGGGGUGUGCAUAGCUCUGCGCGAGGUGAGA